rnacentral:tRNA from 1 species
GGUGGCUCAGUGGUAGAAGAGCACUUGCCUUACAUGCAUGAGGCCCUGGGUUUGAUUCCUCAGCACCA